rfam:Tenacibaculum dicentrarchi strain AY7486TD, complete genome.
AAAAUCGUGAGGUUUUAUCUGAAGGAAGCGAGACUACAAAACUCGGUACUGACGAACAGAAAUCGUAUACAGAGGCAUAAUUACUCGGGUAAGCAAGCACAUCAUUGUAACGCCCCAAAGAACAUCAAAAAGGGUAAUUAUGUAGAUACGGCAGCGAUUGAGUGAAAGAAGAUGCC